GAACACGUCGGUGCUGGUUAGGAUCAAAGUCCUGGGCUGGAGGACAGGAGAUGAGGCGGAGCCUGAACCAGAGGAGAGUCCUGAGAGAGUGGAGACUUGGCUGGGCAGACUGCUGGGGACCUGGACCUGAAGGAAAGGGACAAAGAGCAGUUAUGUGCAGGAACUAUGUGAACAGCUGGUCGCAGUCAGCGUGUGCAGCUUCCUGUCGUGUUGUCGUCACACUGAGGUUGCCACUGAAGCACUGGGCGGACGGAUACACCACGUUUAACUCCUCUAAAAUCACAAACUACAAUUAAAAUUCUUACCUGGAAGACCAGCAGGUACAGCAGGACGUUGAAGGAGCGUGAGGACGAGGACGCUGCGCUGGCCGGAGUCUUCCUCUCUGCCACGAUGAAGGUCAGGUCUCCCAUCUCUUCUUCACUGGGAUAAAUAAACUUCACCCUGCUGCUGUGGACCAGCUCGUAGUUCUGCAUCUUACCUGCAGGGGGAGACAAAUCCCAUCUGUUACCAUUGUCAAGUUAACACCAGCUCAGAUAGAUACAUGUAGAGAUUGAUUGAUUGAUGCACUUUAUUGAUUCCAAGAUGGAAAAUUAUUUUGUUAAAGCAGCGAGAUAUCCAGACAUUGCGGAUAUACUACAAUACAAUAUAAAUAUAAUAAAAUAUAAACAUAAAAUAAAAUACUAUACACAUCAGACAAGUGUGCAAAGACGUAUGGAGGUAGAGAAGGAGUUUGUGCAAAUUAACAGAAGGAGCAGACAAAGACAGAAGUGAGGUGUUGUAGAUCUAUUUAUUUAGGUUGGUCAGAUUUCCUAUAUCGGUCCUUGUGAGAGCGAAACAGAAACAGCCUGUUAGAGAAAGUAUUCCACUGUGGUGGGCAGGAUUAUCCAAAAUGGACUAACAGUUCGUGUCUUCUCCACCACAACUUCAAAGGUAUCUGGUUUUGCAACAAAUUACGGAGGCAGCAUUAAUCUGUUUAUUAAGUCUGUUGAUGUUGCCAACAGACUGAGAGAAGACUUCCACCAUUGCGCUGCUCACAUUGAAAGAUCUCAGCUUCCUCUGGAAAUAGAGUCUGCUCAUCCCCCUUCUUAUACACAGCCUCAGUGCUGCUCUUGCAGUUAAGUCUGUGCUCAAUGUGGGAGAAAAAAACUUUAAUUUAUUCUAACUUUGCAGACAUAUAAUUAGGGCUACGAUGCCAUAAACCAUGAAAGUCAAUGUUUUUAGAAGGUGGGUCGCAUUAUUAUUUGAGGACUCUCUGUUCUCUUUCUUCCUGUUACAUUAAUAGACAGUAGCAUUAUGGGUUUAACCUUAAUAUUGUUAGGCUAGCAUGUUUCUUCAUGUCCGUUAAUAUCGUGUAUUUUAGAGUAUGUCAGACCUAAAAGUGUUCAAGAAGCCCACUUUAACCCUCAGGAAUUUGUAACGGCUUGUGUAACAUGUUUGAUGAUAUUAACACCGUGACAGAGUCAUAAUAAGAAGCUCAAAGAAGUCUGAAACAUACUAAGUCUCUUAGAGUCAUGUAUGUGGAGGGCAGAGCGUUGUAUCCCUGCGUUGUUACCCGUGUUUGUGUUGGUGAACUGGGAGUAGAAGUCCUGAUCUGAUGGUUCUGGAGGAGGAAGCUGCUGCUGCAGGCUGAGAGCCGACAUCAGUUCCUGAAGGAAGACGCCCGUCCCGUAACUGUCCCUGCUGAGACAGCACACGAUGUGAUCGGCCGAACGACCUUCAAACACAGGGGAGAACGAGAGAGAGAGAGAGAGGAUCUAUGGAUAGUUCAGAGAGUGACACAGAGUGAUAUUACACAGAGUUUGUGUGACCUCUGCAAACACCAAGUGCGUUCACAUCCACUGACCUACGACUCUGAAGUACUGGUCGAACAGUCCCACAUUGACAGACAGCAGCUCAGACAGUCUGAUGGACAGACAGCAGCACAGACAGACGUCCGGAUCUCCAGAGUCCAUUACGUCCAACACUGCCAGAGAGAGACAGACAGAGAGACAGACGGACAGAGAGACGGACAGAGAGAGAGACAGACAGAGAGAGAUACAAAGAAGAGACUUAACAAAAGUCUACAGCCCCAGCAGUUGGUAUUUUGUAUGCAACACUCACACACCAGGUUUGGUAUGUGAAUGUCUAUACAGUUACCAUCUUAGUGGGUAUAAGGAAUGUAUCCAUGGCAACAGGAGCAGUAUUAUUCUCUGAUUACAUGAUGCUAUUUUAAAUGUAAUCUUUUCACACUCUGACUGAGCCGAUCAUGUCAGUUCAUCCUACCUGAGUGAUGACCGAGCGUGGAGGCGGAGUCUUCCAACAGGAAGUAGAUUGUAUCGGUGGAGAGCAGCAGACAGCAGGUGAGCUCGGACUCAGGAGACUUGUAGAGAACCACAGACAGCCACAGGACCUGUCUCACCUCCUCUGCCUCAGACUGAUUUAACAGAAAGCACAAGAAUAUAUAAUAUAACAAACACUGACCGAAGAAUUUUCCUGAAAUUAAAAGUGAUCGAUGUUGUGGGAGAACAAUCUUUCUUUGAACUGGGACAGAAAAAAAAUCCUCAAAAAAGAAACUGACUUCAGUCAUCGAAUGAUUUCUCUUAUGUCUGUAAGGAGUGAAUGUUUAGUGACUAUUGUGUCACAACCCGACUCUACAUGCUGUCUUUAUCUUGGGCUCUGCUGAACGAACUAAAGGCAAAGUUGGAAAAACCUAAAGUUUAGAGCCGAAAUGAUCAGUCGAUCAAGAUAAAAAUUAAUUGGAAACUACUUUAGUCGGUCUUAUUAUAGUUCUGACUCUUCUAGUUUUGCACUAAUUAACAUUUUAUGAUGUCACUUUUGGCUCUGGGAACAUAAAUCAGUCAUUAAAUGUAUUGUUAGUUGCAAACCUAGUAAAAUUAAAAUCUUAAAACAAC